rnacentral:tRNA from 1 species
GCACCUCUAGCUCAAUUGGAUAGAGUAUCGGUCUACGGAACCGAGGGUUGCCCGUUCGAAUCGGGCGAGGUGUA